GAUGGACGCUAGCUACAGGCUUAACACAUGCAAGUCGCGGGGCAGCAUGGGGGUUGCUUGCAAUCCCCGAUGGCGACCGGCGCACGGGUGAGUAACGCGUAUCCAACCUGCCCUUCACCACGGGAUAACCCGGCGAAAGUCGGACUAAUACCGUAUGUUGCCCAUUGACGGCAUCCGAUUUGGACGAAAGGUUUGGCGGUGAAGGAUGGGGAUGCGUCCGAUUAGCUGGACGGCGGGGUGACGGCCCACCGUGGCGACGAUCGGUAGGGGUUCUGAGAGGAAGGUCCCCCACACUGGAACUGAGACACGGUCCAGACUCCUACGGGAGGCAGCAGUGAGGAAUAUUGGUCAAUGGGCGUAAGCCUGAACCAGCCAAGUAGCGUGCAGGAUGACGGCCCUAUGGGUUGUAAACUGCUUUUAUGCGGGGAUAAAGUGGCCCACGUGUGGGUUUUUGCAGGUACCGUAUGAAUAAGGACCGGCUAAUUCCGUG
rnacentral:rRNA from 1 species